rnacentral:rRNA from 1 species
UUGCCUUGGCAGGUCGUGGUGUGUAGCGUGAUCGCUAUAAGGGAUCACCGCCUCGCACCACGCUGAAAGACCUGUCAAAGGACCCCUAAACUCUGUCUUAUAACUGUAUCUCUGAGUCUAUUAUAUAAACAAGUUAAAACUUUCAACAACGGAUCUCUUGGCUCUGGCAUCGAUGAAGAACGCAGCGAAAUGCGAUAAGUAAUGUGAAUUGCAGAAUUCAGUGAAUCAUCGAAUCUUUGAACGCACAUUGCGCCUGAUAGUAUUCUGUCAGGCAUGCCUGUUCGAGCGUCAUUUCAACCCCCAAGCCCUAAUCUGCUUGACGUUGGGAGUUUACGGAGACGUAAUUCCUCAAAUAUAGUGGCGGAGCUAGGUCGUGCUCUAAGCGUAGUAACCACACUCUCGCUUCUGCAGCCGGCCUAGGUCUUGCCGUAAAACCCCUAUAUUUAUUUUUUUACUGGUUGACCUCGGAUCAGGUAGGAAUACCCGCUG